rnacentral:ncRNA from 1 species
ACGGCAGCUCGGCAAGGCCAAGGGCGAUCCGGAAGAGAAGGAUCGUUCUCCCGACCCGAGCACCCAGCACGGUUCUCGGCACCCACGCGGAGUCAUAGCCGCGAUAAUGGCAGAAGUGUUGCGGGCCUGCGUAAUUGCGAAUAUCGGAAGGUGUCGACGGCCCUUUGGGUGGGGUUGCAGCCGGACGGUUCGUAAAAGCGCCGAGGCCAACCCACGCAGCCCAUAGGUGCACGCUUGGUAACCGGGAACCGUGCUGGCGGGCGGCGAUCCGAAAUCCUUCGGUCGCCGCCCGCUUUACGUU